rnacentral:rRNA from 1 species
GACGGAGGAUGCAAGCGUUAUCCGGAAUGAUUGGGCGUAAAGCGUCUGCAGGUGGCAGUUCAAGUCUGCUGUCAAAGACCGGGGCUUAACUUCGGAAAGGCAGUGGAAACUGAACAGCUAGAGUAUGGUAGGGGCAGAGGGAAUUCCUGGUGUAGCGGUGAAGUGCGUAGAGAUCAGGAAGAACAUCGGUGGCGAAGGCGCUCUGCUGGACCAUAACUGACACUCAGGGACGAAAGCUAGGGGAGCGAAUGGG